UAUGAUAUGAGAAUUGCUUUUUUUUUACAUCUAUCUUUUAUGUUUGUCUUUGGAAAGCUACUGAGUUGUGUUCCUUUUCUUAUUUCUUUUAUGUUUAUCUCUAUGAAACUAAUAACAAGCACUGCAUGAUACAUACAGUCAAACGGAAGAAGAAGUAAAAUCUAAACACCCCGAGUUUCAUAUGCAGAUCUUUACCAGGUAUAAGAGUAAGUAUAUACUUAUGAAUCUCUUAUAAUUUUGCAUCUUCUAUUAUGCUAGUUAUUUAAGCAUCCAUUAGUUAUUUAGUACAUUGUGGUGAUAAAGCUUUUCAAAUUGUAACUAAGGUAGGUUUCUGUUUUUAACUGUUAAAAGAGCAAAAUAGUGAUUACUGCUGACACUGAGGCUGGAAUCCCUGUGGAACAAAGGCCUUUGUUAGUUGUUAACAUAUCUUUUUUCAUUCCGUUUAGAUUGAAUCACUAAAUUGUGACUUUUGGAUGGCCAGUGGAAAGAAAAAUCAUGAACUGAAAAGGCUUAUGAAUCUGCUUAUACUAUUUUAUAGUCUGCCAGUGGAAAGAAAAACCAUGCAUAUAUUUCUAAGAGUUUUUUCAUUUUUCACUUGGACCUUUGUGCCUUUAUUGUAAGAGUUUUAUUGUUGAUUGAAUCGAAAUGAAGGUUAAUUUUUUAGAAAUGUGUUGCUUGGACAGGUGCAGGGGAAAAUGAGUAAAUGCUUUAUAGCUUCUUGUAGUAAUACCUUAUCUGCCUUAAUUUCAAGAACAUUAUCGCAGGUAAGUAUUUAUUCCAAUUUCCCCCAUUUAAAUUUACUGUGUAAUCUAUUUUUAGUAAAAAAAAAUGAUGAAUUUUGAUUGAUAUAUUGAUGCUUUGAAUAUUUGAAUUCCACACAAAUUGAUGAUUUGAAUGCUUGAAUGCUGCAUUGACUCUCCCAUGGUUGUGGGGAAUUGGCAAUAUAACUGAUUAAAAUUAAACCUUAAAAGAGAAAUUGAGCAUAUGUUUUGUUAGGUAUGAAGAAUGUAAUUUUCUGAUUAUUUCGGAUUCUAUUACAAUUUUCAGUUUGGAAUUUUAGUUUAAAAAUUGUUUGGCAUAUUGUUGUUGGAGUUGUUGGUGAUGAAUUUGUGAUUAAAAUAUUGUUGCAAUUUUCUGUUUUGAAUAUUGUUGGUGAAUGAUGAUGUUUGUGAUUGUUUUUGGUGUUGUUGGUGACGAAUUUGUGAAUAGGGCUGUCGAGGUGAGAUUGACAAGGUUCGUGAGGAUUGGGCUUCUUGUGUGAUCAAUGAGAUUGACAAGUGAAAUGAUGGUUCAUGAAGAGAGAUUCGUUAGUUUUGGAUAUGAGGUUCCAGCGGCUGCUACUUCAAACUACUUUUCUUUUUUUGUUUGUAUUAGCUUAGGAUGUAUUCAAACAUUAACUCAAACUUAUGGAUGUAAGAUUCUUAAUGUUGGCUGAUUAUUGAAUGAAUGUGUUUUUUAGAAUUUAAA